UAACAGACAUUUAUUGGGAGCCUACUUUGUGUGAGUAAGCACGUUAUGCAUAGCAUCUUCUUUAUUUCUCCCCAAGAUGAGCACACUGAGCUUUGGCAAGAACACAGGUCACCACCGUAGGCAUGGCUGGUGAUGGCAGAGCUGGCUCCUGAGUGGGUGGGCUGAAUGCAGAAUGGCUCCUCCCCCUGAGGCUCAGGGUACAGACACCGGCCUGGGAUGAUACAAUGUGCCUGGGCCAGGGGCUCUUCCAGCUCUCUAGCACAGGACAAUUGGCCCAUCUGACAAGCUGUUCCUUUUUCUCUGACCGCCCUUCAGAUCCGUUCUCUCCUGUUGCUGAAGGGGCCCCAGGUGUAUGGCCCUGGACACACAUAAUCCUUGUUUAUGGCACUCAGCACACACCAUGCAAGACCCUGUCCUCCUGUCCCCCUCCCGCCUUCCUUCCUUCCUAUAUUUGAAUCGAGCAAACACCACUUAAUCAACAUCCAAGAAAAAAGCUGGAGCACUGACAGCACUUGCCAAGCUGUUCUGCCCGUCGGUUCCUGCGGCAACCCCAGGGAACAGACUUCCAGUGGCAGUUUGUUCAGGCAGUCACAUCGAUUGGCUGAUCUCAGGGAGGGUGAGUCCCACCCCAAGUCCUGGAGAUGAAUCAUGCAUGAUUGGACUACAGCAAGCUUCAUGAUCUCAUUCCCACUGGUCAGUCAUUGGUCUGGGACAAGCAUGUGAUGCACUUUUGGUCAAUCAGAGGAUACAAAUGGAAUGGCAGAGGUACAGCAGCCAUCUUGUGACUAUGAGGUGAUAAGCAGGAGCACAAAAGCCAACACACCAAGGCUGGUUGAACAGAAGGAGGGACAGAGCCUGUGUCCUUGGGCAGCUAAUCCACUCUCAGAUCGCCUGUUCCAAGACUGCUUGUUAUGCAGAAGAACAACCUAACAUUUAGUUAUGAAGCUUUGGUUGAUUUCUCAGUUACUGGCAUCUGCAUGUAUUCCUACUAAGAGAUAGGCUGGCAUUCAUCUGUAUUGUGAUAAAUAACGCUAGCUGCUGUAACAAACAGAGCCCAAAUCUCAGUGGCUAAACACAAUAAAGUUUUAUCUUUUGUCUACA